rnacentral:rRNA from 1 species
ACGAACGCUGGCGGCGUGCUUCACACCUGCAAGUCGAACGGAAAGGCCUCUUUCGGGGGGUACUCGAGUGGCGAACGGGUGAGUAACACGUGAGUAACCUGCCCUUGACUUUGGGAUAACUUCAGGAAACUGGGGCUAAUACCGGAUAGGAGCUCCUGCUGCAUGGUGGGGGUUGGAAAGUUUCGGCGGUUGGGGAUGGACUCGCGGCUUAUCAGCUUGUUGGUGGGGUAGUGGCUUACCAAGGCUUUGACGGGUAGCCGGCCUGAGAGGGUGACCGGCCACAGUGGGACUGAGAUACGGCCCAGACUCCUACGGGAGGCAGCAGUGGGGAAUAUUGCACAAUGGGUGGAAGCCUGAUGCAGCAACGCCGUGUGCGGGAUGACGGCCUUCGGGUUGUAAACCGCUUUCGCUCAUGACGAAGCUUUGUGUGACGGUAGUGGGUAAAGAAGCACCGGCUAACUACGUG